rnacentral:rRNA from 1 species
UACGUAGGGGGCGAGCGUUGUCCGAAGUUACUGGGCGUAAAGCGGACGUAGGCGGCUAUUUAAGUCUGUGGUGAAAGGUUCAGCGCUCAACGUGAACAUUGCCCUGGAUACUGGAUGGCUUGAGUCUGGCAGGGGGUAGCGGAAUUCCUGGUGUAGCGGUGAAAUGCGUAGAUAUCAGGAGGAACACCGGUGGCGAAGGCGGCUACCUGGGCUAAGACUGACGCUGAGGUCCGAAAGCGUGGGGAGCGAACGGG